rnacentral:tRNA from 1 species
UGGUAGCUCAGUUGGUAGAGCAAAGGACUGAAAAUCCUUGUGUCGUGGGUUCGAGUCCCACCUAG